CAUCACCUGUUGGGAGAAGCCGUUUCAAUACGGUGCCGAAGGAGCAACCGCCCCGGAAACUCUCAGGCAAAAGGACCAACAGGGCCGA
rfam:Rhizobiales bacterium 63-7 SCNpilot_expt_1000_bf_scaffold_4598, whole genome shotgun sequence.